rnacentral:lncRNA from 1 species
GCAGUCUGUUCAUCUCCAGCAUGUGGAAAGUGCUGCUCCUGGGUCUGUAUGUAGUAUUGGCUGUGAGAGGACUGGCAAAGGGUGCUCCUUUCCAACCAGAAGAUAAAUGGAAGCCUCUUGAUAACCCCCGAAACAGAGACCUGUUUUUCAGAACGCUCCAGGCUUACUUCUCGGGCAGGGGUCUCGAUCUCAGGAAGUUCCCAACUUCUUUCACUGUGAGCAAUGAAGGACCAAGGCUCUACUCAGAUCCUAUUGCUUCUGCAUUUGCAGAUUAUGAAGAAAAGAAAAAAUCCUUUCAGAACUAUUUCAAAGGCUGAAAGAUUCUGCUGAUGAAGGCAUUAACUUCAGAAGUCCAUGCCAAGAGGAAACCUUCACAGAAAAAUUUUACUGCUUCGACUUUUUAACUGUUACCUGACAAUUCCGAAGUUUCUUCACUGUUUCUGCCAGUGGAAUCUGGUGUUCUGCUGCAAUGAGCAUUAUUCCGUCUGUUGACAAAGCUAUGUCUGUGAGCAGAAUUGUGCUUAAAUGUGAAUAAAUCGGGAGUGCAACAGCGUGCA